AACCUCACUUGUGGGGGGAUUAGUGGCGAACGGGUGAGUAACACGUGAGUAACCUGCCCUUAACUCUGGGAUAAGCCUGGGAAACUGGGUCUAAUACCGGAUAUGACUCCUCAUCGCAUGGUGGGGGGUGGAAAGCUUUUUGUGGUUUUGGAUGGACUCGCGGCCUAUCAGCUUGUUGGUGAGGUAAUGGCUCACCAAGGCGACGACGGGUAGCCGGCCUGAGAGGGUGACCGGCCACACUGGGACUGAGACACGGCCCAGACUCCUACGGGAGGCAGCAGUGGGGAAUAUUGCACAAUGGGCGAAAGCCUGAUGCAGCGACGCCGCGUGAGGGAUGACGGCCUUCGGGUUGUAAACCUCUUUCAGUAGGGAAGAAGCGAAAGUGACGGUACCUGCAGAAGAAGCGCCGGCUAACUACGUGCCAGCAGCCGCGGUAAUACGUAGGGCGCAAGCGUUAUCCGGAAUUAUUGGGCGUAAAGAGCUCGUAGGCGGUUUGUCGCGUCUGCCGUGAAAGUCCGGGGCUCAACUCCGGAUCUGCGGUGGGUACGGGCAGACUAGAGUGAUGUAGGGGAGACUGGAAUUCCUGGUGUAGCGGUGAAAUGCGCAGAUAUCAGGAGGAACACCGAUGGCGAAGGCAGGUCUCUGGGCAUUAACUGACGCUGAGGAGCGAAAGCAUGGGGAGCGAACAGGAUUAGAUACCCUGGUAGUCCAUGCCGUAAACGUUGGGCACUAGGUGUGGGG
rnacentral:rRNA from 1 species